AGAGCUCUACUCUGACCUGCAGACAGCUCCAUCCUCAGCAAGGCUUGCCCUGGCAAAUUUUUCUCUUCAGUUGGCUUGGACUGGCAAAUUUUUCUCUUCAGCUGGCUUGUUCUGGCAAAUCCCAUCCUCAAGGAGCCCAACCCCUUCCUCUGAGAGUGCAGAAAGCUUGGACACCCAGCUUCAAGUUCCCUGCUGGGAGCUGAGGGUACCAGCUUGGUGGCCCUGCAGACUUGGCAUCUUCCAUGUUGUGCUGCUGCUCCUCUGUCCACUGCCAUUUUUCUGAUCUCUUCUUGCAGCAGAGAAUCUCUGGAACCUGGGAAUGCUAAGAUGGGAAAAAUCUGCAUGCAAUAAAAUCUGGGUGAAUCCAUAUUGGCUGGAUUGCAGAGCCUGGAUCUUCUGGAGAUCAAGAAUCCAAGAAGGUGCUCCACCACAUUCAUCUAAGAAAAUACUGCUUCCUUGA